rnacentral:tRNA from 1 species
GGUUGAGGCUCAGUGGUAGAGUGCUUGCAUCGCAUGCAUGAAGCACUGGGUUCAAUCCCUGGCACCA